rnacentral:miRNA from 1 species
GGUUUACCGUCCCACAUACAU